GACGAACGCUGGCGGCGUGCUUAACACAUGCAAGUCGAACGAAGUGGCGAACGGGUGAGUAACGCGUAAUCAACCUGCCCUUCAGAGGGGGACAACAGUUGGAAACGACUGCUAAUACCGCAUACUGAAGGAGGGGAUUGCGUGUGAUUAGCUGGUUGGGGGGGUAACGGCCCACCAAGGCGAUGAUCAGUAGCCUGUCUGGGAGGAUGAACCGCCACAUUGGGACCGAGACCACGGCCAGACUCCCACGGGGGGCAGCAAGUGGGAAACUUCCGCAAUGGACGAAAGUCUGACGAAGCCACGCCGCGGUGGUGAUGACGGCCUUCGGGUUGGAAAGCUCUUUUAAUCGGGACGCGGUACCGGAAUAGAAAGCCACGGCUAACUACGUGCCAGCAGCCGCGGUAAUAC
rnacentral:rRNA from 1 species